rnacentral:snRNA from 1 species
GUGCUCACUUUGGCAGCACAUAUACUAAAAUUGGAACAAUACAGACAUUAGCAUAGCCCCUGGGCAAGGAUAACACCCCAAAUUGUGAAGCAUUCCAAAUUAAA